GACGAACGCUGGCGGCGUGCUUAACACAUGCAAGUCGAACGGAAAGGCCCUGCUUUUGUUGCGUUCUCGAGUGGCGAACGGGUGAGUAACACGUGAGUAACCUGCCCUUGUCUUUGGGAUAUCUUCAGGAAACUGGGGCUCUUACCGGAUAGGAGCUCCUGCUGCAUGGUGGGCGUUGGAAAGUUUCGGCGGUUGGGGAUGGUCUCGCGGCUUAUCCGCUUGUUGGUGGAGUAGUGGCUUACCAAGGCUUAGACGGGUAGCCGGCCUGAGAGGGUGACCGGCGACAUGGGGACUGAGAUACGGCCCAGACGGGUACGGGAGGCAGCGGGGGGGAAUAUUGCACAAUGGGGGCAAGCGUGAUGCAGCAACGCCGCGAGCGGGAUGACGGCCUACGAGUGGAAAACCACUUUGGCCUGUAACGAAGAGGGAGUGACGGUAAUGGAUAAAGAAGCACCGGCUAACUACGUG
rnacentral:rRNA from 1 species